GCUCCUUUGAAGUUAGCGGCGGACGGGUGAGUAACACGUGGGUAACCUACCUAUAAGACUGGGAUAACUUCGGGAAACCGGAGCUAAUACCGGAUAACAUUUAGAACCGCAUGGUUCUAAAGUGAAAGAUGGUUUUGCUAUCACUUAUAGAUGGACCCGCGCCGUAUUAGCUAGUUGGUAAGGUAACGGCUUACCAAGGCGACGAUACGUAGCCGACCUGAGAGGGUGAUCGGCCACACUGGAACUGAGACACGGUCCAGACUCCUACGGGAGGCAGCAGUAGGGAAUCUUCCGCAAUGGGCGAAAGCCUGACGGAGCAACGCCGCGUGAGUGAUGAAGGGUUUCGGCUCGUAAAACUCUGUUAUUAGGGAAGAACAAAUGUGUAAGUAACUGUGCACAUCUUGACGGUACCUAAUCAGAAAGCCACGGCUAACUACGUGCCAGCAGCCGCGGUAAUACGUAGGUGGCAAGCGUUAUCCGGAAUUAUUGGGCGUAAAGCGCGCGUAGGCGGUUUCUUAAGUCUGAUGUGAAAGCCCACGGCUCAACCGUGGAGGGUCAUUGGAAACUGGGAAACUUGAGUGCAGAAGAGGAAAGUGGAA
rnacentral:rRNA from 1 species